CAAUAGCGUAUAUAAAAGUUGUUGCAGUUAAAAAGCUCGUAGUUGGAUUUCUGGUCGGAGCGACCGGUCGGCGUCCUUUGUGGCGUGUGCACUGUUGUCGGCUCCGUCCAUCCUAGUGGGAAGGCGUGUUGGCAUUCAUUUGUCGGCGCGUGGCCCCGCUACGUUUACUGUGAAAAAAUUAGAGUGUUUAAAGCAGGCGUUCGCUGUGAAUACAUUAGCAUGGAAUAAUGAGAUAGGACUUUGGUACUAUUUUGUUGGUUUGCGCACCAAGGUAAUGAUUAAUAGGGAUAGUUGGGGGUAUUCAUAUUCAAUUGUCAGAGGUGAAAUUCUUGGAUUUAUGGAAGAUGAACUUAUGCGAAAGCAUUUACCAAGGAUGUUUUCAUUAA
rnacentral:rRNA from 1 species